AUUCCAUCCGCUCCCGUGCCCCGUCCAGACUCCGGAGUGUCCCCACACAAUAAUACACCGCCGACGGAUUGUAUCCCUCCUCCCCUGCUCUGCCGCUGCAGCUAUAAAUCCCGACCCCGAUCGAUCGAUGGAGAUGUGGAAAUAUCGGGUCGUGGGAUCGGUUGCUGCCCUCCUCUUGCUACUCGCCAUCGUCGUGCCGUUUACUCAGACCCAGACGCAGAGCGCACGGGACAAAGCUGCCAUGGCGGAAGACGCGGGGCCGCUGGUGGGAGGCAUCAGUGACUCGCCGAUGGGGCAAGAAAACGACCUCGACGUCAUCGCGCUCGCCCGCUUCGCCNNNNNNNNNNNNNNNNNNNNNNNNAAUGCCCUGCUGGAGUUCGAGAAUGUGGUGAAGGUGAAGAAGCAAACUGUUGCUGGCACGAUGCACUACAUUACAAUCCGGGUCACUGAAGGUGGGGCCAAGAAGCUCUAUGAAGCUAAGGUGUGGGAGAAACCAUGGGAGAACUUUAAGAAGCUCGAGGAGUUCAAGCUGGUGGAGGACGUUCCAAGCGCAUAACUCAUAAGGCGCGUCCCAGCUUUGCAAGGAUCUGCAGCUAUGGUGUUGAUGUAGCUAUCUAUCGGACAUGGUUUAGCGUGUUCUCGUGUAAUAUCAAGAAUAAGUCCGCUUCUUGCAAGUUGUUUUAACCACAUCUCUAAAUAAAAUUCUCAGUAUUAUUGUAUUUUGUUUUUCCUUUGAUCGACUUGUUUUACCCUGGGCAGCAAUUAGCAUCACAUUAGCCUGCCCAUUAUAUCUGAC
rnacentral:rRNA from 1 species